GGGGUGCGAGCGCGCGCGCGCGCGUGCGAGUGCCGGGGAGGGGGGACCUUUCUCUCUCCCCCUCCCUUCAGCUUCAGCGGCUGAUCUUGUUCUCACUGUACUCUUACUACCGCUUGCAAUGUGACACUAGAAUAUAGAUUCUAUUUUUUUUCCUCACCCCCACACACAUCACACCUCACACACACACACACACACAGGCACGCAUACAGACACCGGGACAUACCUAUACACACUUGCACACAUACACACGCAUGCAUGCACGCACUCACGCACGGACGGACCCACGCGGUGGAGUCGGUAUUCCGGAGUGGAGUUGUUCAGGAUAUAUAUAAAUAUAUAUUGAACGGUAUAGAGAGAGGGAGAGAAAGAAAAAGCGACGAGAAAGGAACUAAAUCUGGUCCAACGAGGAACUAUUUCCUUUCUUCUUUUUAAGUCUGCCCCCGUUUCUUCUUCUGCAUCAUGUUUGGGGCUCCCACGGCACUGGAUUUUGUUGUGCUUUUCUGCUUGGCAUCUGCAAUUGCAGCUGUGGAAGAAACACUAAUGGAUACUCGGACAGCCACAGCUGAACUUGGUUGGACAGCAAACCCACCAUCAGGGUGGGAGGAAGUCAGUGGCUACGAUGAGAACCUCAACACAAUACGUACUUACCAAGUUUGCAACGUCUUUGAACCCAACCAGAACAAUUGGUUACUUACCACCUUCAUAAAUCGACAUGGUGCACACCGUAUUUAUACAGAAAUGCGCUUCACUGUACGGGACUGUAGCAGCCUUCCCAAUGUUCCUGGUUCCUGUAAGGAAACUUUCAACCUAUAUUACUAUGAAACAGACUCUGUUAUUGCCACCAAGAAGUCAGCUUUCUGGACAGAAGCCCCCUACCUCAAGGUGGACACUAUUGCUGCAGAUGAGAGCUUCUCUCAGGUGGACUUUGGUGGCAGGUUAAUGAAGGUGAACACAGAGGUGAGGAGCUUUGGGCCCCUCAAUCGGAAUGGCUUUUACCUUGCCUUUCAGGAUUAUGGGGCAUGCAUGUCAUUGCUGUCUGUAAGGGUCUUCUUUAAGAAAUGCCCAAGUGUGGUGCAAAAUUUUGCCAUCUUUCCAGAGACCAUGACAGGAGCAGAAAGUACUUCCUUAGUGAUUGCACGAGGUACGUGCAUUCCCAAUGCCGAGGAGGUGGAUGUGCCCAUUAAAUUAUACUGCAAUGGUGAUGGGGAAUGGAUGGUUCCCAUUGGCCGCUGUACUUGCAAGGCUGGAUAUGAGCCUGAGAACAAUGUGGCCUGUAAAGCUUGCCCAGCAGGGAUGUUCAAAGCUCAUCAAGGAAUAGGAAUCUGCUCACAAUGUCCUCCCAACAGUCGCUCCACAUCAGAAGCUGCUGCCAUCUGCACUUGUCGCAACGGAUACUACCGGUCUGACUUUGAUCCGUCAGAGGUAGCUUGUACUAGUGUUCCCUCCGGACCUCGGAAUGUAAUCUCUAUUGUCAAUGAGACUUCAAUUAUAUUAGAAUGGCACCCACCUCGGGAUACAGGAGGGCGUGAUGAUGUGACCUAUAAUAUCGUCUGCAAAAAGUGCCGGUCAGAUCGCCGUAGCUGCUCCCGCUGCGAUGACAAUGUGGAGUUUGUGCCAAGACAAUUGGGACUUACAGGAACUCGUGUCUUCAUCAGCAACCUGUGGGCUCAUACGCCCUACACCUUUGAGAUCCAAGCUGUCAAUGGGGUUUCUAAUAAAAGCCCAUUCCCGCCACAGCAUGCCUCAGUGAACAUCACCACCAACCAAGCAGCACCUUCCACAGUUCUUAUUAUGCACCAGGUAAGUGCCACCAUGAGGAGCAUCACGCUGUCAUGGCCUCAGCCAGAACAGCCCAAUGGCAUCAUCCUGGACUAUGAAAUCCGUUAUUACGAGAAGCUGAGCCGGAUCUGCAUCCCUGAGAUUAGCAGCGCCAUGGGCUCAAGACCAGCUACCGACCACAGUGAGUACAACUCCUCUAUGGCCAAAAGUCAGACCAACACUGCACGAAUCGAUGGGCUCCGGCCUGGGAUGGUUUAUGUAGUGCAGGUGCGGGCUCGGACUGUGGCUGGCUAUGGGAAAUACAGUGGAAAAAUGUGCUUCCAAACUCUGACAGAUGAUGACUACAAGUCAGAAUUGAGAGAACAACUGCCAUUGAUUGCUGGUUCUGCCGCAGCAGGGGUCGUCUUCAUUGUCUCCUUGGUGGCUAUUUCAAUUGUUUGCAGCAGGAAGCGAGCAUAUAGCAAAGAGGCAGUAUACAGUGAUAAACUACAGCAUUACAGUACUGGUAGAGGCUCCCCUGGAAUGAAGAUCUACAUUGACCCUUUUACAUAUGAGGACCCCAAUGAAGCUGUCCGUGAAUUUGCCAAGGAAAUUGAUGUGUCUUUCGUGAAGAUUGAAGAAGUCAUUGGAGCAGGAGAAUUUGGUGAAGUUUAUAAAGGGCGCCUGAAACUGCCUGGCAAGAGAGAAAUUUACGUGGCUAUUAAGACAUUAAAGGCCGGCUAUUCUGAAAAACAACGACGGGAUUUCCUAAGUGAAGCCAGCAUCAUGGGUCAGUUUGACCAUCCAAAUAUUAUUCGUUUGGAGGGGGUUGUAACUAAAAGUCGGCCAGUGAUGAUUAUCACAGAAUUUAUGGAAAAUGGAGCCCUGGAUUCUUUUCUACGACAAAAUGAUGGCCAGUUUACGGUCAUUCAGUUGGUGGGAAUGUUACGAGGGAUUGCAGCUGGCAUGAAGUACCUUGCAGAAAUGAAUUAUGUUCACCGUGAUCUUGCAGCCAGAAAUAUCCUGGUCAACAGCAACCUGGUCUGUAAAGUAUCUGAUUUUGGUCUCUCUCGUUACCUGCAAGAUGACACAUCAGAUCCAACUUAUACCAGCUCUUUGGGUGGAAAAAUUCCAGUGAGAUGGACAGCACCAGAAGCUAUUGCCUACCGUAAAUUCACCUCCGCCAGUGAUGUAUGGAGUUAUGGAAUUGUUAUGUGGGAAGUAAUGUCAUUUGGAGAAAGACCCUAUUGGGACAUGUCCAAUCAAGAUGUAAUUAAUGCAAUUGAGCAAGAUUACCGGCUCCCUCCACCUAUGGAUUGUCCAGCUGCUCUACAUCAACUUAUGUUAGAUUGUUGGCAAAAAGACCGCAACACAAGGCCACGGUUUGCUGAAAUAGUUAAUACUUUAGAUAAAAUGAUCCGAAAUCCAGCGAGCCUCAAAACUGUGGCUACCAUCACCGCUGUGCCUUCUCAGCCACUGUUGGAUCGCUCCAUCCCAGAUUUCACUGCCUUUACCUCAGUAGAAGAUUGGUUGAGUGCCAUCAAAAUGAACCAGUACAGAGACAGUUUUCUAACUGCUGGCUUCACAUCCCUUCAGUUAGUUGCACAAAUGACAUCGGAAGAUCUUCUAAGAAUAGGGGUGACUUUAGCCGGACACCAGAAGAAGAUCCUGAGCAGUGUCCAGUCUAUGAGAGUACAGAUGAGCCAGUCACCAACUGCGAUGGCAUGAUGCUGCGUGUCUUCUUACAACAAUGGGAAAAAAGAGGGGAGGACAGAAGAGGGUUGGAUGUGGGAGGGGAGGGGAGGCUGACAAGGCAGUGAUGUCUAUAGAGAUUGGAUAAUUGUUUGAGAACUCUUAUGCGCUGCAGACAAAGAAUAUAUGGAAUUUGUUUCUAAAUGGCAAAUUAUGUUUCUCACACCAACAGAAGCACAUUUACUGAUGCCAUGGGAAACAGAAUAUAAAUAAGUAUAAAUAUGUACAGAUCAAAUAUUUAAAAAAAGUGAAGAAAACCAAUGUGUUUUGGGAAGAAAAGAGACUUCAGUCCUACCACCAGUGAGCAGUAGUCAAGAGGCCAAUGGAGAAGAAAGAGGCAACCAGAACAACAAUCUUCAGCAGUCAGAUUCCCUUCCUUCUCUUCUUUAGUUCUUCUUCCAGAGUCAUUCUUAUCCACCCAUUUCCCUCUUUGGCUCAUAAACUAUGGCAAAUGUUGUUCAACAGUUCCUACAGAUAAGAACAUCAAAACAUUGUGCCAUCAGUUACAAAGGACUUCACUGACCACUGCAUGGGGGAUCCAGACCAAUCCAGUUAAUGUCUUCAUAUUGAAGAAGAGUUGUACCUUCAAUAGAAAAUCCUGUUUUUUCUUUUGCUUGCAUUUUUUUGCAAAAGGGAAAACGAUAUCCUCACAGGAAAAAAGGGGGAAAAAGAUGUUCCCGCAAGUGUGUGCGUAUCGUCUGUAUGUCAGCUUAACUGUGGAGUCACUCACAGCUUAUCCAUAACAGAAGAAAAACCAAUCAAGCUGGACUGGUGGCUGAUAAUUCUAUCUUUUUCACGGAACUUGGGGAUCCACUGGGAGACGGAAGUGAUGUGCCUUGCUUUCUGUCUAGUUCAACUGUGCAUGGAAUUGUGUACUGGGAAAUGAAAAGAGAAAAAGAAAGCAAAUGAAUUUCUAAGGACCAAGGAAGCAGAAGUGUUCACUGUGCAACAAGGUUUUCAUGUAGAACAGUAUGGAAUGUUCAGCUGUAAAGUCAACUAAGCAGAAGGCUUAGUCCUCCAGUGACCAGAAAAAGAUGGCUUGGAAAUCUUUAGUUCCAUUAUUUGGACCUCAGGAUUUUGAUAUAUAUUGAUUUUGGUUUCAUGGCAUCAGAGGUCUCCUUCCGUUCAGGGAAUCAAAACCCCAUUUGAGAUAAUUGUGGCUGACAAACUAUCGUCUCUGCUUCUAUGAAUCUGUCCUCUGUUGACAACUGGGAUUCCCCAGGGAGAAGACAUUAUUAGGACAACUAUCCAGGACAAUGGCUGUCCCACAUUCCCUCUCUCCACCCCCUUUCAUGUUUGAAAGGUAAUGUUUCCUCCUUACCAUGCCUCCAUAUGCAGAGACACAUUUUCAGUCUAUAUUGCCUGUGUUUCUAUUCUUCCACUGUAAUUUAUUGCAGGAAAGAAGCCAUGUUGACUUUAUGCUGGUGUGUAACAUCUGUGCUUUAUUUGCCAAGUUCUUGUUCCAUGAAAUUUGAAGCAGGAAUUGCUUGAUGUCCUAUGGUAGAUGCUAUAUGAUGUGUUGCUUUCACUGGGUGAUUUACUGACAAAUAAAUUGUAAUAAUGUGGACUUUAUCACUAUUGGUAUCAACAAGAAACAUUUUAAAGAAUAUCAUGAUAAUUUAUCAUGUGUGCAUAUUAAAUACACAUACAUUCUUUAUGUUAUAGAGACCUUAUUUUGCAAAUGUAUAACUCACUUUCAGUCAGAUUUCUUUUCUAUUUUCUGUGUGAUUUUUGAAUACUCCCCCCUCCCAGCAUCAACCUUUUAUUGGGCCUUCCUUCCUUC